AGUUUGAUCCUGGCUCAGGAUGAACGCUAGCGGGAGGCUUAACACAUGCAAGUCGAGGGGUAUAAUUAGCAAUAGUUAGAGACCGGCGCACGGGUGAGUAACGCGUAUGCAACCUGCCCUUUACUGGGGGAUAGCCCGUAGAAAUGCGGAUUAAUACCCCAUAGUUUUGAGAAGCCGCAUGGUUUUUCAGAUAAAGCUGAGGUGGUAAAGGAUGGGCAUGCGUGACAUUAGCUAGUUGGUGAGGUAACGGCUCACCAAGGCUUCGAUGUCUAGGGGUUCUGUGAGGAAGAUCCCCCACACUGGUACUGAGACACGGACCAGACUCCCACGGGAGGCAGCAGUGAGGAAUAUUGGUCAAUGGGCGAGAGCCUGAACCAGCCAUCCCGCGUGCAGGAAGAAUGCCCUAUGGGUUGUAAACUGCUUUUUCGCAUGAAGAACAUCCCGAACGAGUUCGGGACUGACGGUAAUGCGUGAAUAAGCACCGGCUAACUCCGUGCCAGCAGCCGCGGUAAUACGGAGGGUGCAAGCGUUAUCCGGAUUUAUUGGGUUUAAAGGG
rnacentral:rRNA from 1 species